UUAGUAUUAGGUUCCGGACUCCAUGUUCGGUCGUGCCUCGGUACGUACUGGCAUUCGUUGGUUUCUCCCUUCUGACGAACCAUGAUGUCAUUUAUUUGGUGUUGUGGGGAAUCAGGACUGUUACUUUGAAAAAUUAGAGUGUUUAAAGCAGGCUCACGCUUGAAUACAUUAGCAUGGAAUAAUGAAAUAGGACGUUUGAUUCUAUUUUGUUGGUUUCUAGGAUCGACGUAAUGAUUAAUAGGGAUAGUUGGGGGCAUUAGUAUUCAAUGUCAGAGGUGAAAUUCUUGGAUUUAUUGAAGACUAACUACUGCGAAAGCAUUUGCCAAGGAUGUUUUCAUUAAUCAAGAACGAAAGUUAGGGGAUCGAAGACGAUCAGAUACCGUCGUAGUCUUAACCAUAAACUAUGCCGACUAGGGAUCGGAUGAUGUUAAUUUUAAUGACUC
rnacentral:rRNA from 1 species